AUUGAACGCUGGCGGCAGGCCUAACACAUGCAAGUCGAGCGAGCGGCGGACGGGUGAGUAAUGUCUGGGGACUGCCCGAUAGAGGGGGAUAACUACUGGAAACGGUGGCUAAUACCGCAUACCAUCGGAUUACCCGUAUGGGAUUAGCUUGUAGGUGGGGUAAAGGCUCACCUAGGCGACGAUACCUAGCUGGUCUGAGCGGAUGCUCAGCCACACUGGGACGGAGACACGGCCCAGACUCGUACGGAGGCAGCAGUGGGGAAUAGUGCACAAGGGGCGCAGGCCUGAUGCAGCCAGGCCGCGUGUAUGAAGAAGGCCUUAGGGUUGUAAAGUACUUUCAGCGAGGAGGCGUUAACCGCAGAAGAAGCACCGGCUAACUCCGUGCCAGCAGCCGCGGUAAUAC
rnacentral:rRNA from 1 species